CCUACGGGAGGCAGCAGUGAGGAUAUUGCGCAAUGGGCGAAAGCCUGACGCAGCAACGCCGCGUGGGGGAGGAAAGCCUUCGGGUUGUAAACCCCUUUUCUGGGGGACGAGGGAGGACGGUACCCCAGGAAUAAGUCUCGGCUAACUACGUGCCAGCAGCCGCGGUAAAACGUAGGAGGCAAGCGUUAUCCGGAUUCACUGGGCGUAAAGCGCGUGCAGGUGGUGCUUUAAGUUGGGCGUGAAAUCUCCUGGCUUAACUGGGAGGGGCCGUUCAAUACUGAAGCACUUGAGGGUGGACGGGGAAAGCGGAAUUCCCGGUGUAGUGGUGAAAUGCGUAGAUAUUGGGAGGAACACCGGUGGCGAAGGCGGCUCUCGGGACUAAUACUGACGCUGAGGCGCGAAAGCUAGGGGAGCAAACGGGAUUAGAUACCCCUGUAGU
rnacentral:rRNA from 1 species